ensembl:ncRNA lncRNA:CR44420 long non-coding RNA:CR44420
GCAGGCGACUUGGAACCAAACUCAAUCGAAAACUCUGGGCUCAAACUCGACGACUGCACGCAGUGUGGUCGGGGCAGCUAACAAAUGUUGUUAACAAUUUCAUGCUGGCAAUAGCAACAGCAACAGCAACAGCAACGACAACUACAACGACAGCAACAGCAACAGCAACAACAACUCGAACAACUGUCAAUGCGCAUGAAAUAGAAACAUUGGCAAGCUGCGAGCCCUGGCACAGUCCAAAUCCACAUCCAUAUCCACAAUCCGAUGCAGCUGCGUCAGUGAGGAAAUGCACAAAAGGCCGAGACAGACAAGCUGGCCCAGACACACUGACAGUCAGUCCGGAUCGCUUUGAACUGGGCCUGCACUGGGAGAAAUCAGCGAGCGAAGGAUGAGAACUAAGUAACUCCUAUAUCAUACUUAUUUGUAAAUUCCAUCUGAGAGUCUUUCGAUUUGAUUAAGCUCCUUCCUCUUCUCUCCAUAUUUUAUUAUUCCUUUAUAAAUGGUAUAUGUAUGUUCCUAAGUUACCACCUUUUUCUGCCAGUGUACCAUUGGGCCUGGUUCUCCGCUUGUCUCCCGAAAUGCAAUUGAAAAAUUGUGAGUUGUACAAUAAAUUCCUUCUGUGUGGGAUUGCGAAACA